rnacentral:rRNA from 1 species
ACUCAAAUGAAUUGACGGGGACCCGCACAAGCAGUGGAGUAUGUGGUUUAAUUCGAAGCAACGCGAAGAACCUUACCAGGUCUUGACAUCUGGGUGAAAGCACUAGAGAUAGUGCCCCUCUUCGGAGCAUCCAAGACAGGUGGUGCAUGGUUGUCGUCAGCUCGUGUCGUGAGAUGUUGGGUUAAGUCCCGCAACGAGCGCAACCCUUAAGGUUAGUUGCCAGCAGGUAAGGCUGGGCACUCUAACAUGACUGCCGGUGACAAACCGGAGGAAGGUGGGGAUGACGUCAAAUCAUCAUGCCCCUUAUGACCUGGGCUACACACGUACUACAAUGGUCGGUACAACGGGAAGCGAAGUCGCGAGAUGGAGCGAAUCCUUAGAAGCCGAUCUCAGUUCGGAUUGCAGGCUGCAACUCGCCUGCAUGAAGUCGGAAUUGCUAGUAAUCGCGGAUCAGCAUGCCGCGGUGAAUACGUUCCCGGGUCUUGUACACACCGCCCGU